GAUGAACGCUGGCGGCGUGCUUAACACAUGCAAGUCGAACGAUGAAGCCCAGCUUGCUGGGUGGCUUAGUGGCGAACGGGUGAGUAACACGUGAGUAACCUGCCCUUAACUCUGGGAUAAGCCUGGGAAACUGGGUCUAAUACCGGAUAGGAGCGUCCACCGCAUGGUGGUGUUUGAAAGUUUUAUCCGUUUUGGAUGGACCUGCGGCCUAUUAGCUUGUUGGUGAGGUAAUGGGUCACCAAGGCGACGACCGGUAGCCGGCCUGAGGGGGUGACCGGCCACACUGGGACUGAGACACGGCCAAGAAUCCGACGGGAAGCAGCGGUGAGGAAGAUUGCACAAUGGGCGCAAGCCUGAUGCAGCGACGCCGCGUGAGGGAUGACGGCCUUCGGGUUGUAAACCUCUUUCAGUAGGGAAGAAGCGAAAGUGACGGUACCUGCAGAAGAAGCACCGGCUAACUACGUG
rnacentral:rRNA from 1 species